rnacentral:rRNA from 1 species
UACAGAGGUCUCGAGCGUUGUUCGGAUUCAUUGGGCGUAAAGGGUGCGUAGGUGGCGCUGUAAGUCAGGUGUGAAAUUUCGGAGCUUAACUCCGAAACUGCAUUUGAUACUGCGGUGCUUGAGGACUGGAGAGGAGACUGGAAUUUACGGUGUAGCAGUGAAAUGCGUAGAGAUCGUGAAGGAAGACCAGUGGCGAAGGCGGGUCUCUGGAC